rnacentral:rRNA from 1 species
AACGAACGCUGGCGGCAGGCCUAACACGUGCAAGUCGAGCGAAGCCUUCGGGCUUAGCGGCGGACGGGUGAGUAACGCGUGGGAACGUGCCCUUUGGUACGGAAUAGCCCCGGGAAACUGGGAGUAAUACCGUAUGUGGUCGAGAGACGAAAGAUUUAUCGCCAAAGGAUCGGCCCGCGUUGGAUUAGGUAGUUGGUGGGGUAAUGGCCUACCAAGCCGACGAUCCAUAGCUGGUUUGAGAGGAUGAUCAGCCACACUGGGACUGAGACACGGCCCAGACUCCUACGGGAGGCAGCAGUGGGGAAUCUUAGACAAUGGGGGAAACCCUGAUCUAGCCACGCCGCGUGAUCGAUGAAGGCCUUAGGGUUGUAAAGAUCUUUCAGUGGGGAAGAUAAUGACUGUACCCACAGAAGAAGCCCCGGCUAACUCCGUGCCAGCAGCCGCAGUAACAC